ACGACCUUACUUGAACAGGAUCUGUUCUAUAGGCUCGUACAUCUGUAUCCUUGAUUUCAAAGGAGACAGGAAUCUAUGUCUGGCUGAUGAGAUAGAUAUGCCCUCUAGACCAGAGCGUGAUUAACGGUGCUGUUGGCCUCACUGGCUUUGGCUUGUGGGUCACAUUGUUGUAGAGGAUCGUUCUCAGUCAGUGAACUGGCUGGGUUGGUCUAGUGGUUGUCUGACAGGCU